GACAGAGGUGCCGAGCGUUAGGCGGAAUCACUGGGCUUAAAGCGUGUGUAGGCGGAUCUGUAAGUACCUUGUGAAAUCCCACGGCUCAACCGUGGUACUGCUUGGUAUACUGCGGGUCUUGAGCCACCUAGGGGCAAGUGGAACAAACGGUGGAGCGGUGAAAUGCGUAGAUAUCGUUUGGAACGCCAAUGGUGAAAACAACUUGCUGGGGGUGUGCUGACGCUGAGACACGAAAGCCAGGGGAGCAAACGGG
rnacentral:rRNA from 1 species